rnacentral:rRNA from 1 species
UACGAAGGGGGCGAGCGUUGUUCGGAAUCACUGGGCGUAAAGGGCGCGUAGGCGGCCCUCCUUGUCGCGUGUGAAAGCCCCGGGCUCAACCUGGGAACGGCGCGCGAGACGGGGGGGCUGGAGUUCGGGAGAGGAGCGUGGAAUUCCCAGUGUAGAGGUGAAAUUCGUAGAUAUUGGGAGGAACACCAGUGGCGAAGGCGACUACCUGGCCUGUUCUUGACGCUGAGGCGCGAAAGCUAGGGGAGCAAACGGG